rnacentral:lncRNA from 1 species
UCAGCUUCAUACAUUUUUCAUUCCAGGACCCCUGCUGAAGAAGCAGCAGCAAUCUGGGGAAUAUUCUCCUGGAAGAAUACAGAAAUAUAAGAGAGUUGGCAGGGAUGCAAACCAUCUCCUAAAAGUCUCUGCUCUGAACCAGUACACYGUUCCUUCUGUCAUAUUCCAUUCACCAAAGAAAUCUUACGCAUGACAGAUUUUUCAUCUUGCUGCUGCUACAUGAAGAAAAUUGGGCUUAAUCUGUCAGUCUUCCAGGCCAGAAGAGAGGAAAGGACUGAGUUUAGGUGAAGCUUGUCCUGUACAUCGGCCAACAGGCAGGGCUCCAGCUCUGCAGGGGAAAAG